rnacentral:rRNA from 1 species
GACGUAGGGCGCGAGCGUUGUCCGGAUUCAUUGGGCGUAAAGGGUGCGUAGGCGGCCAACUAAGUCAGACGUGAAAUCCCUCGGCUUAACCGGGGAACUGCGUCUGAUACUGGAUGGCUUGAGUUUGGGAGAGGGAUGCGGAAUUCCAGGUGUAGCGGUGAAAUGCGUAGAUAUCUGGAGGAACACCGGUGGCGAAGGCGGCAUCCUGGACCAACACUGACGCUGAGUGAGCGAAAGCCAGGGGAGCAAACGGG